UUCAAAAGUUCAUGUUUUUCGUCC
rnacentral:siRNA from 1 species